rnacentral:rRNA from 1 species
UACGUAGGAAGCAAGCGUUGUCCGGAAUCAUUGGGCGUAAAGAGCGUGUAGGCGGUCCGGUCAGUCGGUUGUGAAAGUCAAGGGCUCAACCCUUGAAUGCCGGCCGAUACUGCCGGGCUAGAGUCCGGAAGAGGUGAGUGGAAUUCCUGGUGUAGCGGUGAAAUGCGCAGAUAUCAGGAGGAACACCGAUGGCGAAGGCAGCUCACUGGGACGGUACUGACGCUGAGGCGCGAAAGCGUGGGGAGCAAACAGG